AUGAAGGCGCACUUCAUCCAUUCCACAAAGAGGAAAUUAUUGUUGAAAAGGCUACAACAACCACCAUUCUUCCGUCUUUAUUUUCGAAGUUCCAGACUGACACUUCUUCUGUUCAAUACUCCCUUCCCGCGCGUCAUACUCGCUCCAGCACAGACCAUCCUCCAGCCGAAGCACCUUUGUUCCGCUAGCAUCAACCUCCGUUCAGAACACAAUGGCUCCCUCAUCUUCGGUCAACAACAAAUCCACUUCUUCCUCCAUUUUGUGAUUUGGUUAAAUCUGAAGGAUGGCUUUGACAACAUCUGUGUUAAUUGUGAAUGA